rnacentral:rRNA from 1 species
GACGAACGCUGGCGGCGUGCUUAACACAUGCAAGUCGAACGGAAAGGCCCUGCUUUUGUGGGGUGCUCGAGUGGCGAACGGGUGAGUAACACGUGAGUAACCUGCCCUUGACUUUGGGAUAACUUCAGGAAACUGGGGCUAAUACCGGAUAGGAGCUCCUGCUGCAUGGUGGGGGUUGGAAAGUUUCGGCGGUUGGGGAUGGACUCGCGGCUUAUCAGCUUGUUGGUGGGGUAGUGGCUUACCAAGGCUUUGACGGGUAGCCGGCCUGAGAGGGUGACCGGCGACAAUGGGACUGAGAUACGGCGCAGACUGCUACGGGAGGCAGCAGUGGGGAAUAUUGCACAAUGGGCGGAAGCCUGAUGCAGAAACGCCGCGUGCGGGAUGACGGCCUUCGGGUUGUAAACCGCUUUCGCAUGUGACGAAGCGUGAGUGACGGUAAUGGGUAAAGAAGCACCGGCUAACUACGUG